UACGGGGGGUGCGAGCGUUGUCCGGAAUCACUGGGCGUAAAGGGCGCGUAGGUGGUUUGAUAAGGGUGUGGUGAAAGUCCGGGGCUCAACCCCGGAUCUGCCGUGCCGACUGUCAAACUCGAGGGCUGUAAAGGCAGACGGAAUUCCGGGUGUAGCGGUGGAAUGCGUAGAGAUCCGGAGGAAGACCGGUGGCGAAGGCGGUCUGCUGGGCAGUUUCUGACACUGAUGCGCGACAGCGUGGGGAGCAAACAGG
rnacentral:rRNA from 1 species